rnacentral:rRNA from 1 species
CCUACGGGAGGCUGCAGUGAGGAAUAUUGGUCAAUGGACGAGAGUCUGAACCAGCCAAGUAGCGUGAAGGAUGACUGCCCUAUGGGUUGUAAACUUCUUUUAUAUGGGAAUAAAAUGUUCCACGUGUGGGAUUUUGUAUGUACCAUAUGAAUAAGGAUCGGCUAACUCCGUGCCAGCAGCCGCGGUAAUACGGAGGAUCCGAGCGUUAUCCGGAUUGAUUGGGUUUAAAGGGAGCGUAGGUGGAUUGGUAAGUCAGUUGUGAAAGUUCGCGGCUCAACCGUAAAAUUGCAGUUGAAACUGGCAGUCUUGAGUACAGUAGAGGUGGGCGGAAUUCGUGGUGUAGCGGUGAAAUGCUUAGAUAUCACGAAGAACUCCGAUUGCGAAGGCAGCCUACUAAACUGCCACUGACAUUGAUGCUCGAAAGUGUGGGUAUCAAACAGGAUUAGAUACCCGGGUAGUC